rnacentral:misc_RNA from 1 species
GAAAUGCGAUAAGUAAUGUGAAUUGCAGAAUUCAGUGAAUCAUCGAAUCUUUGAACGCACCUUGCGCUCCUUGGUAUUCCUUGGAGCAUGCCUGUUUGAGUAUCAUGAAAUCUUCAAAGUAAAUCUUUUGUUAACUCAAUUGGUUUCUACUUUGGUAUUGGAGGUCUUUGCAGCUUCACACCUGCUGCUCUUUGUUCAUUAGCUGGAUCUCAGUGUUAUGCUUGGUUCCACUCGGCGUGAUAAGUUAUCUAUCGCUGAGGACACUGUAAAAGGUGGCCAAGGUAAAUGCAGAUGAACCGCUUCUAAUAGUCCAUUGACUUGGACAAUACUUUUAUGAUCUGAUCUCAAAUCAGGUAGGACUACCCGCUGAACUUAAGC